UGGAAGGCUCUACUGCAGGUCGGGCACAAAAAGUCCAUUCCCAAUAUGUGAAAAAAUGGCAGAGCCCAGAAGGGUAGACACACAGGAAAAAGGAUGUAGAAGAUGGGAUCUUGAGGAGCAGCAGUAGUCUUUUCUGGACCAUUAAUUAAUUCAGGUGCACAGAUGCCUUGCCCUGGCUCUGGGUGAAAGAUCCACUGAGAGAGAAAGGAAACGAGGCCUAUUUUGUGUAACAUUUCUUAACCUUCAGAAAUUGAUGUCAUGAAUAACAACCACAUUCUCUUUACUUUUGGCUGCAGUGAGUAGUGAGCAGGGCUUCAACAGGACCUUUCCACCGUGGCUCCAAGGACUGUUUUUGGUGAUGACCUUUCCAGUAGACCCAGUCACUGGAUUGGAUUUCUCAGUGCAUCUCUUUCUCAUCUCUUAAUUUUUGAGAUCAUCCCAUCAUAGUCAAGUCACACCUGUGUCCCUCUAUGCAUGUAUACUCCUAACUGCCUUAAUAAUGAUAAAGUUCUUAGGAGUGAUAAGUAUCAUCUUCUCACAUAGGCAGGGAGGACUGAGUGCUCACAUAGAUGAAAUCACAAAUCUAUGAUUACUGAAAGAAGGACAUCCAAGCGCUUUGACUGGUCUUUUUCAUUGCUUACAAUAUACAGGGAUAUGAUUUCUUCCCCGAGGAUUGCUUAAGCGGCAUCUCAGAAAUUUUGAUGCAUCCAAAACUGAGUGCAAGACACUGAAGCCUCCAGCCACUACUGUAUCACUAUCUAUGUCUUCUUGUAGUUCAGGGCAGGCCUGCAGAUCACUGCUGAAUCUCAUUACAGCAAACUAAAGAUACGUGCUACUGCUUUUUUGUGAAUCUGGAGCUGAAAAACAGAUUUGAAUGAGAAGAACAAGUGAAUGCAUUUGGGGAAAUAUGCCAAAAACACAACAAAAGAAUAAGAAAAAAGGUAUUAAGGGACUUUUCUGAUAACUAAGAUUAAAGAUUAAA